GUAGCAGAUUGGAUGUGAGACUUUGAUCUCUUUGUUAACUUUGUCGGCCAGAUCUUGUCUCUCGGAAUUUUCCUCGACGUAUUGGACAUCUUCCUCCUCAUCCAGCGGUAUCCCGAUCACACCCUGAUGUUUUCGUCGCAUUGCUGUUAGCCGGGAGAAAAAGCUCUGAACUUGGCUCUUUGUCAGCCACUGUUGUGGAAGCUACUAACUGAAAUGCUCAAUCUUAUUUAUACGGAGAGUGUUCUCUGAUUCGUCGACUAUGCUCACUUCAGCUGUUGUUCCUUUCACUGGGUGUUGCGUCAAUGCAUCUCUCAUGUCCUAGAGGACUUCAUUGGAUAGAGGAUACGAUCGCAAAUGUCUUUACCAGACUGCUGCUCCGAGUAGUGAUAACUAUGAACUUCAACCCCAACUCCUUUUGCGACAUCUCUCACAGCGGUUACUCGGGAGCUGUUGUGAUAGCAACCGGCUUCAUCUGACCUUAGAUGGACUUUCUGCAGCAAAGGAUUCUGACUUUCAACUGCUUUAGAAGAUCUUCGAGAAUUGACGUAACUGCAUACCAGUCCUGAGUACACUGAUCAAAGAGGUUUUAGCCGAUACCAUGAGGAUGACGUGGCUUAUGGAGGGCUGUGUCAAUGGUCAUGCGUUCACCAUCGAAGGAGAAGGCACCGGCAAACCUUACGAAGGCAAACAAACGGGGACAUUCCGUGUUACAAAGGGCGGACCCCUUCCAUUUGCCGUCGACAUAGUGGCACCGACCUUGAAGUAUGGAUUCAAAUGUUUUAUGAAGUAUCCUGCUGGUAUUCCUGACUAUUUUUAGUAAGCAUUUCCCGAGGGUCUGACCUACGACAGGAAAUUAACAUUUGAAGAUGGAGGGUGUGCCAC